ensembl:lncRNA
UUUUUCCACACUUUGUUACGUGUCAGCCUUGUUCUAAAAUGGAUAGAAAAUAAAAUGGUCCUCAGCAAUCUACAUACAAUACCCCAUAAUGACAAAGGCAAAAACAUAAAAACUGAAAUAGCUUAUUUACAUAAGUAUUCAGACCCUUUGCUAUGAGACACGAAAUUGAGCGCAGGUGCAUCCUGUUUCCAUUGAUCAUUCUUGAGAUGUUGAUUGCAGUCCACCUGUUGUAAUUCAAUUGAUUAGAGAUGACUGGGAAAGUGCAUGUCAGAGCAAAAACCAAGCUAUGAAGUCAAAGGAACGGUCCGUAGAGCUCAGAGACAGUAUUGUGUCGAGGCGCAGAUUUGGGGAAGGGUACCAAAAAAUGUUCCAAGGUUCCCAAGAACACAGUGUUCUCCAUCAUUCUUAAAUCGAAGAAGUUUGGAACCAUCAACACUCUUCCUAAAGCUGGAGCAAUCGGGGGAGAAGGGACUUGGUCAGGGAGGUGACCAAGAACCCAAUGGUCACUCUGUCAGAGCUUUAGAGUUCCUCUGUGGAGAUGGAAGAACAUUCCAGAAGGACAAACAUCUCUGCAGCACUCCACCAAUCAGGCCUUUAUGUUAGAGUGGCCAGACAGAAGCCACUCCUCAGUAAAAGGCCCAAAAGGCACCUAAAGAGUUUGCCAAAAACAUCAUAUCCAAGAAGACUCUAGGCUGUAAUACCUGCCAAAGGUGCUUAAGCAAAGUACUGAGUAAAAGGUCUGAAUACUUAUGUAAAUGGUGAUGUUUCAGUUUUAUUUUUAUUUAUAAAUCAGCAAAAAUGUAUAAAAAAAACAUUUUUGCUUUGUCAUUAUGGGGUAUUGUGUUUGGAUUGAAGAGGGGGAAAAAAUUAUUUAAUCAAUUUUAGAAUAAGGCUGUAACCUAACAUAAUGUGGAAAAGGUCAAGCGGUCUGAAUACAUUCCUAAGGCACUGUACCGUAUAUCUGGUUUAAGUAUCAGAUUUUUUGGGAGUGGUGGCAACGAUUUAUGAAUAUGGGUAAACACUGCACACACACACACACACAUGCACAAGACACAAACAACACUCACCCACACAAGCAUCCAAUGUGUGAAACAAACAGAGGCAUACAUUGCUGCCCCCCCAGAAUCCCGCCCCUGUCGUAAUGGGGGUGUGUGUGUCUCUUUGACCUCUGACCUUGCUGGGUUCCGCUGCCUCUGCCCCCCCUAUACCACCGGGACAUACUGUGAAACACAGCUAACACAGGUCAGCAGAACAUUUGACAGGCUUGAGGUGGGUCAGAACUCUGACAGGCAUGCUGGCAGCCCCGUCCAGAGGGCAGCUGUAGAGGUCAGAGUUUACCUCAGCGUCGCUGGUCCUUCAGCCCCGCCCAUGGCCGCUGUGACCACUUCCUGUUCUGCACAGGAAACAGCAACAACAACUUCCUCUCCCUCGAGGCCUGCCAGGAGCAGUGCAUGAUGGGAGCCUGCUGCUUCCGCCUGCCCAAACCGAGCCCUCUCAUUGGCUACGACAGCCAGGGCAACGGUCGCCAUGGAUACAACACAACCUCCAACCAGGAGCAGAGUGGAAGGGGCCAAAAGAUGGAAGAUGCAUGGUUUGGAGAAAUAACUGACAAGAGGACAUUGGAGGAGGACGGAUCUAAUCACUUUGGUUACCAGUGGUUCAACCUGACCAGGCCAAACCAGCAGAGAGAAAGAAAGGAGGAGAGAGGGAGAGAGAAAAAUGCUAGUGGGUUUGACGGGACAGAUGCUGAUUUCAUCUACAGCUGUGAGUACCUGUCUGUGUCAGCCUGUCAGGCCAGGGUCAGGGACCUGCAGGGAGAGGGAGAGGCUGUGAGUUUCUCCCCCGGCCAGCGCUGCUCUGAGGUGGGUUGCGUCCACGCCUGUGGCUGCCUCUACCAUAGCCUGCCACGGAGCUACGGGGAGAGGUUCAGGCAUGGCUGUGAAGAGUGUUUGUGUGAUCAAAGCGGAGCGGUGCAGUGUGGGUGUAGUCAACUGACACAGCGGAAGGAGAUAAGAGACCUGACCCUGAAAGAGAGGCGCCAGUACCAACGAGCCAUCAGGAGGCUCUACGCACAGCCAGGUGUAUGGGAUGGUUUCACCAAGCUGAGAGCUGAGUUCUCCCCUCAGGCUGGUGGCCAUACCUACUUCCUGCCCUGGCAGCGCUACUUCCUGCGGGUGGUGGAGCAGGAGCUCCAGGCUGUGUCGUCAUGCCAACUGGGUGUUCCGUACUUCGAGUGGACGGUCGACUCUGGUGAUCUUUUGACCUCAGCUGUCUGGCAGCCUGAGAUGUUUGGAGGGGACGGAGAGAGAGAGAGGAAUGGCGAGAGGGAAAGGGGUGAAGAGGGGGAUAGAGCGAGUGAGGGGGAUGGAGAGCAAGAGAGCAACUAUGUCUCAGGCUGUGUCCCCCACCACUCCUUCCAGGGCUUGUCUGCACGGUUCCACUGGUCCCCCUGUCUACGACGGAGCUUCAACACCUCGGUGUCUGUGCCUGACGCGGUGAGCGUCCAGAGGCUACUGUCCCAGGGAAACUUCCUGUUGUUCUCCCAGGCUCUGCAGGGGCUGUCUGGGCUAUUUAGGCUCUGGGUGGGGGGCCACAUGGCUUCUCCUCUGGCCGCCUAUGACCCCCUCUACCUCUCACACGCCGCUUUCAUCGACAAGCUCUGGACACACUGGCAGGACAGGCACAGAGACGUGCACACUCAUGAAGAAGCUCAUGGGCACACUCACCUACACACCAAGUACCCGGUGAGGCAGCGUCUCAUCAAGAUGAAGCCGUUCGGCAUUGCUCCUGAUGAUGUGAUGUCUUCACGGGAACAACUGUGUGUGGUAUAUGUACCCAUAACCCUCGGAGCUCCCUGCAAUGUGACAUCAUCACUCCUUGCCGAAAGAGGGAAGGGCCGCCACAGAGGAGCGAAAGACACUGCCAGCUAUCACAGAAAGAGACAAGAUACACAAAACAACCAUAAACACAGCACCUAUGAUUACAAUGCACAAGGCUAUGAUGGCUUUGACCACAGUGGUUACAAUCGCAAUGGAUAUGACAGACAAGGUUUCAACCGCAUGGGCUGGGACCUGCUUGGUUACAGUAAGGAUGGUUUGGACCGUGACCACAUCGACAGAGAGGGCUAUGACAUUUCUGGAUACAACCGCUAUGGGUUUAACCGCCACAAUGUUACAUGGUUUGGGAUGCGCUGGGAUGGAUUGUUUAUGAGGGAGGAGGAGAGAGAAGUGGAGACUCAGGGGGAGAAAGAGAAGGAGAGUGAGGUGAGAGAGGAGAGUAGAGAGGAGGAGGAGAGAGAAAGAGAGAAGGUUAUGUCAGAGCUCUUUAGCGACAGUGGCUACAGUGUUUAUGGUUUCGACCCCUUUGGUUUGGACCGGGGUGGUUUUGAUGCAUUUGGAUUUCGACCAGACGGAUACGAUAAGGACAGCUGUAACUGGUUCUACAACGGACCGCACUACCUACGGUUCUACUACCACACCCAACAGCAGCUAAUUUCAACCAAUCAACACACUCUUAACCACAUUACAAGAACCUGCUCUCCAAUUACAGCCUUGCCUCAGCACUGGCCUUUGCAGGAUUGGAUGGCUCUGGAUCAAGAGGAGAGCCAAGCCCUGAUUGGUCAGCUGGAGCGGGAGUGGGCAGGACAAAAGCAUUCUGAUGACUACUACACCCACAAGGUGAUGUCACAGAGGGGACGGGGCAUUUGGCUGCCAAUCACCCCAGACAGCAGGUUUUGUUUUGAACUACACUGGUUUUCUGGUUGUCCUCUUGGCUCUGCCCCCAUGACCUGCCCUGACCUCUGCCGUGAAGCACGUUGUCUUGGUAACCCGAUGGCUGAGUGUCGUUUGCGGAACUGUGGCUCCUGCUUUACUGAGUGGCUUGACCCAACCACCGGAGCGUACGUCAUCUGCCAGGGCUGGUAACCAGUGCUGACCGGCGCCCAUGUCAUUCAGCGUAGUGGAAGAUGACUAGAAAAUGCUUUUUUAUCAUGAAAAACGAAUGCAGUUCGACAUCAGAGCUUUCAUUACCAAGGCUGGUUACCAAGUCUGGAGAUAGGACACUUUUCUCUUUCUGGAAUACACUUUGAUGAUGGGUUGGAAUGAAAGUCUGCACACCCUGUAGCACUUCCUAUGAAUAUUUAACUGAAGUAGGAGAUAUUUAGACAUUAGGAGGUGUAAUCAAUGUACCACACUGUAUUAGAUAAAGGGAGUGAAUGUUUCUAGUGUUCUUUGUUGCUGCUUUUACUCUUCAUCUAUUAAGCUGUUUACCCACCACAUGAUAUUCACCACACACACACACACACCCUGGCAUUUGUAAAAUGUGUCUUUGUUCUGUCAUGUUCCCUAUAGAAAUGAAAAGGUUACUUACUUUUAAAGCAAGUUCCAUCUCCACACACACAUAUACACACAGUAGGCCGGUAUAUGUCGAAUGGGUCUCUGUUCUGUCAUGUUCCCUAUAGAAACGACCCUGUUGGAAUGUACUGUAAACAUGAUAUUAUGCCUUCAAUCUCUCUCUCUUUCUCUUUCUCUCUCUCUCUCGCUCUCCCUCUCUCUCUCUCUCUUUCUCUCUCUCUCUCCCCUCUCCCCCUCUAUCUCUCUCCAUCUUCUCUUCAUUUCUCUCUCCAUCCCUCACACUCUCUCAUUCCUACCUCUCUCUCUUAUCUUCUGUCUGAAUCAGUUUUUCUUUCUCUUUCCCCAUUCUCUCUGUCUACUGUCUUUGUCUCCUCUUGUUUUUUUAUGUCCAUCUUUCUUUUCUGUCCGUCUUUUCUCUCUUAAUUGUUUCUGAUGGCAUCCAGCCGACACACACACACACACACACACACAGUCAGUCACUCUUAUGCAGACACAAACACGCACUCAUACACUCUUUGAUCUUUCUGCAUUGGCCUGCAUGCUCGGAUGAGUGGCGGAAAUGCUUCCUGGCAUUGGUGGGCAGCCUCACACACAGACACACACACACACACACACACAAACUGUUGCUCUGACAAGUAAAUUGUGUGUUAAUGUAGUCACCGGGGCAGUCUCUAACUCUGUACCACCGCAGGCACCUCUGUUUAUGGUUACAGCUGUAAAACAUCUCUCUCUGUGGGUGUGUGUGUGUGUGUUUGUGCGCAUGUGCGCGUGCGCAUGUGUGUGCGCAUGUGUGCGUGUGUGUGUGUGUGUGUGUGUUUGUGCGCAUGUGUGUAUGUGUGUGUGUUAUAUGAGCAGCAUGCUGUUGUGUCAUUACUAAAGAGGAAAGCCAGAUGUUCUGGAGAGAGACAGAGAGAGAGUUAGAGGGA